GACGAAGGGGGCUAGCGUUGUUCGGAAUUAUUGGGCGUAAAGCGCGUGUAGGCGGUUUCUUAAGUCUGAUGUGAAAGCCCCGGGCUCAACCCGGGAAGUGCAUUGGAUACUGGGAGACUUGAAUACGGGAGAGGGUAGUGGAAUUCCUAGUGUAGGAGUGAAAUCCGUAGAUAUUAGGAGGAACACCGGUGGCGAAGGCGGCUACCUGGACCGAUAUUGACGCUGAGACGCGAAAGCGUGGGGAGCAAACAGG
rnacentral:rRNA from 1 species